AUUGAACGCUGGCGGCAGGCCUAACACAUGCAAGUCGGACGGUAGCACAGGGGAGCUUGCUCUCCGGGUGACGAGUGGCGGACGGGUGAGUAAUGUCUGGGAAACUGCCCGGUGGAGGGGGAUAACUACUGGAAACGGUAGCUAAUACCGCAUAACGUCUUCGGACCAAAGUGGGGGAUCUUCGGACCUCACGCCACCGGAUGUGCCCAGAUGGGAUUAGCUAGUAGGUGGGGUAACGGCUCACCUAGGCGACGAUCCCUAGCUGGUCUGAGAGGAUGACCAGCCACACUGGAACUGAGACACGGUCCAGACUCCUACGGGAGGCAGCAGUGGGGAAUAUUGCACAAUGGGCGCAAGCCUGAUGCAGCCAUGCCGCGUGUAUGAAGAAGGCCUUCGGGUUGUAAAGUACUUUCAGCGGGGAGGAAGGGGUGAGGUUAA
rnacentral:rRNA from 1 species